rnacentral:rRNA from 1 species
CCAGCACCCCGAAUGGUCGGGACGAUUAUUGGGCCUAAAGCAUCCGUAGCCGGUUUUACAAGUCCUCCGUUAAAUCCAACUGCUUAACAGAUGGGCCGCGGAGGAUACUAUAAGACUAGGAGGCAGGAGAGGCAAGCGGUACUCAGUGGGUAGGGGUAAAAUCCGUUGAUCCAUUGAAGACCACCAGUGGCGAAGGCGGCUUGCCAGAAUGCGCUCGACGGUGAGGGAUGAAAGCUGGGGGAGCAAACCGGAUUAGAUACCCGGGUAGUCCCAGCUGUAAACGAUGCAGACUCGGUGAUGGACUAGCUUUAUGCUAGUCCAGUGCCGCAGGGAAGCCGUUAAGUCUGCCGCCUGGGUAGUACGGUCGCAAGACUG